rnacentral:rRNA from 1 species
GACGAACGCUGGCGGCGUGCUUAACACAUGCAAGUCGUACGGUAAGGCCCUUUCGGGGGUACACGAGUGUCGAACGGGUGAGUAACACGUGAGUAACCUGCCCACAACUUUGGGAUAACGCUAGGAAACUGGUGCUAAUACUGGAUAUGUGCUCCUGCUGCAUGGUGGGGGUUGGAAAGCUCCGGCGGUUGUGGAUGGACUCGCGGCCUAUCAGCUUGUUGGUGGGGUAGUGGCCUACCAAGGCGGCGACGGGUAGCCGGCCUGAGAGGGUGACCGGCCACAUUGGGACUGAGAUACGGCCCAGACUCCUACGGGAGGCAGCAGUGGGGAAUAUUGCACAAUGGGCGCAAGCCUGAUGCAGCAACGCCGCGUGCGGGAUGACGGCCUUCGGGUUGUAAACCGCUUUCAGCAGGGACGAAGCUUUUUGUGACGGUACCUGCAGAAGAAGCACCGGCUAACUACGUG